rnacentral:rRNA from 1 species
GACAGAGGGGGCAAGCGUUGCUCGGAAUCACUGGGCGUAAAGGGCGCGUAGGCGGGAUGGCAAGUCGGUCGUGAAAUCCUUCGGCUCAACCGAAGAACGUCGGCCGAUACUGCCGUUCUUGAGGGAUGCAGAGGAGAUUGGAAUUCCCGGUGUAGCGGUGAAAUGUGUAGAGAUCGGGAGGAAGGCCGGUGGCGAAGGCGGCGCUCUGGAACGUUUCU